rnacentral:rRNA from 1 species
GGGUAGCCGGCCUGAGAGGGCGACCGGCCACACUGGGACUGAGACACGGCCCAGACUCCUACGGGAGGCAGCAGUGGGGAAUAUUGCACAAUGGGCGGAAGCCUGAUGCAGCGACGCCGCGUGAGGGAUGACGGCCUUCGGGUUGUAAACCUCUUUCAGCAGGGACGAAGCGAGAGUGACGGUACCUGCAGAAGAAGCGCCGGCCAACUACGUGCCAGCAGCCGCGGUAAGACGUAGGGCGCGAGCGUUGUCCGGAUUUAUUGGGCGUAAAGAGCUCGUAGGCGGCUUGUCGCGUCUAAUGUGAAAUCUCAGGGCUCAACUCUGACAUUGCAUUCGAUACGGGCAGGCUAGAGUUCGGUAGGGGAGACUGGAAUUCCUGGUGUAGCGGUGAAAUGCGCAGAUAUCAGGAGGAACACCGGUGGCGAAGGCGGGUCUCUGGGCCGAUACUGACGCUGAGGAGCGAAAGCGUGGGGAGCGAACAGGAUUAGAUACCCUGGUAGUCCACGCUGUAAACGUUGGGCGCUAGGUGUGGGGACCCUCUCCGGAGUUCUGCGCCGCAGCUAACGCAUUAAGCGCCCCG